GGCGCUGCCCCGGCGAGGGCCCGACUUGUGGUGCGGGCAGGAGCGGCCCGAGCGCGGCCCCGCUCUGCUCGUGUCCGCCUCCCGCCGGGCGCGGCAGGGCCCGAUGGCGGCCGGGCUGGGGCCGCGGCUGCUGGCCUUGGCCUUGGCCUUGGGGCCGGCCGGUGUGUGGGCACAGUGGAGGCUGGUGGAGUCUGGCGGAGGUCUGCGAGCACCUGGAGACUCCGUGAAGCUCUCCUGCCAGGGAUCCGGAUUCAAAUUUGAAGAUUAUUAUGUCUUGUGGUACCGUCAGGCACCUGGUGGCAGUCUCGAGUGGGUGUCUUACAUCAGCCAGCCAUCUGGUACUACAAAGCAAUACGGGGCUGCAGUAAAAGGUCGAGCCACAGCCUCCCGGGACAAUUCACGGGCCGAGUCAUCUCUUUCCCUCCACCGCCUGCAUGUGGGCGACUCAGCCCACUAUUUUUGUGCUGUUCGCACAGGGACACGAAAUACUGCAGGGCUUUAACAAAAACCCCUUUCCAGGGCAUGGCGAAAGCUGUGUGAGCUGCAGGGCUGGUUUUGGCUGUGUCAACUGUACGCUUCUCCCAGGGAGCAAAGGUGCAUCACUGUACACCACAGAUGGCCCUGUCCUUUCUGCAAGAGUUCCUUUCUCUUAAUCACCCCUUUCUCUGAAGUCCCCAAAGCAGUAUUGUAGUCUGGGGAGGAUGUUCAACAUAUUUCUGGUCACUAAACCAGCUUGUCUGCUUUACCUGCCUGCAGCCCCUCUCUGCCUGCCUUUGGUCUCCUUCUUCACUUGGGCUUUAGAAGAAAUGUUGCCGGUUUCCAUUGUUACUCCCCUCAGUGACCCAUCCCUAGGCCAUUUCCAUGGGCUGGAAAAAGAAAAGCAGUUGUGUGAAGAGCCGUGCUGUGACUUCAGUUGCGUUUCAGGGCAGUGAGAUCCAAGCAAUGAAGUCUGCAUUGCGGGGCUGAGCACAGUACACGGAGACCCUGCGAUGCACUUACAGGUCCAACGCUUCUUAUGUUUACAUGGCCUGUCACCAGCAGCAUCCCAGUUGGCAGUACUUGCUCCAGACAAGGGCCAAGGAAGCUACUACAGCCCUAAGCCUGUACAGUCUCUGCAGACAAUGGGAUUGCUGAAUCUCCUGCAGUGUGCCCAAGGUCUUUCUCUAGGAGAUAUUCCAUAGAAGAUAGUACAGGAGGAGUUGGGAGACUCCCUUGUUGCUCAAAAAUCUUCUCUGCCACCCUAGCCUCAGGCUAUGGCUCAUGCUAAUUGCACUGCAAGUACCCAGGAGGCAGCAAGCAGCUGCAGUGAACCUGUCCAGAGCAAUAGGCUAAGCUCUGGGGAAAUUACAGGCAAACUCACUUUGGCAGUAGGCUAUGAAGAAGAACAGAUAUGCCUGUGCAUGCCAGCUCUCAAGAAAAAUCCACACACCUUGUCCUGUAGGCAAAUGCUGUUGUUGAUAGAAUAGAAAGAAGGGAUGCCACCCAAAGGGAC